GGUACAGUGGUGCAGUGGAUAGCACUGUCACAAGAAGGUCCCGGGUUCGAAUCCGGCCCCGUGCUU
rnacentral:tRNA from 1 species